UCUCCCUAUGUUUUGGAAUCUCACUGCCUGCACUCUCAUGGAUUCAGUACUUUAACAUCCCUCACUAUGGAUUCCAGGCUUUGUUGCACAAUGAAUUCUUGGGACAAACCUUCUGUCUAGAACACAACACAGAAGAACUCAGCAGAUGUCAGAACCAAAUAAUAUGUUCUGGUGAAGAGUUCUUGACAAUACAGGGCAUUGAGCUCUCAUCGUGGGGCUUCUGGAAGAAUCACGUGGCCUUAGCUUCUAUAAUGAGUAUCCUCUUCACUUCUGCUUAUGUGCAACUACACCACAGGAAACUGGAAGUUCUCAGGUCCUGGGUGAGAAAGUCUCUACAGUCAUUUAAAUAGAUGUGGUCCCAAACUGUCUUCUGAAUGUUUAUAAUUAUGCUCAUGGACAACUGCUACAGCCAGCAUUACCCAGAGAAGAUUCCAUCAUUGUGAACAGUGAUGAAUGCAGAGACCCAUGGCUGCUCACAGUCCCAAGAGUAAGCGAUACUUGAGGGCUUAGCCCCAAACAGGACACCUACAGCACCCUCUCCAAAGCUUAGGACAUUGUAGAAAGUGUGCAAGAGCCAGAAGAUGAGAAGGGCUGGAAAUGCGAUAUGGUGGGCAUGACACAGCCAGGGCAACCAUGGGCUGUCUCCCAACACCACAGCUACCUGCAGAACACUGGGCCCCUCAUCAGCAAGGGAAGGAUCACAGAGAAACACAAUGGCCCCACCCCCAUUCUCAGAACUACCUGCUGCUGGGGGAUCAUGGGAGUGAGGCUGUCACUGAUUUCAUAUGUAUCCUCACACCUGAGCCUGCCAUGCUCCAUUGGAAAUUCUGAAGCCCAGGAUCACACAGCUGUGUUUAAACUCUGGGGGUCACAACACAAAAUCCCAAGAUAUGACCAUGACAAAGAAACCUGUAAAGAGAAAUAGUUGAAGCAACUGUAAGGGAGAUAGGAAAUGUGGGC